rnacentral:rRNA from 1 species
AGUGAACGCUGGCGGUAGGCCUAACACAUGCAAGUCGAACGGCAGCACAGUAAGAGCUUGCUCUUACGGGUGGCGAGUGACGGACGGGUGAGGAAUACAUCGGAAUCUACUUUUUCGUGGGGGAUAACGUAGGGAAACUUACGCUAAUACCGCAUACGACCUACGGGUGAAAGCAGGGGAUCUUCGGACCUUGCGCGAUUGAAUGAGCCGAUGUCGGAUUAGCUAGUUGGCGGGGGAAAGGCCCACCAAGGCGACGAUCCGUAGCUGGUCUGAGAGGAUGAUCGGCCGCACUGGAGCUGAGACACGGUCCAGACUCCUACGGGAGGCAGCAGUGGGGAAUAUUGGAGAAUGGGCGGAAGCCUGAUCCAGCCAUACCGCGUGGGUGAAGAAGGCCUUCGGGUUGUAGAGCCCUUUUGUUGGGAAAGAAAAGCAGCAGGUUAAUACCCCGCUGUUCUGACGGUACCCAAAGAAUAAGCACCGGCUAACUUCGUG